rnacentral:rRNA from 1 species
UCACGAAGAACUCCGAUUGCGAAGGCAGCUUGCUGGACUGUAACUGACGNUGAGGCACGAAAGCGUGGGGAUCAAACAGGAUUAGAUACCCUGGUAGNCCACGCCGUAAACGAUGAAUGCUAGCUGUUAGCGAUAUACUGUUAGCGGCACAGAGAAAUCGUUAAGCAUUCCACCUGGGGAGUACGCCGGCAACGGUGAAACUCAAAGGAAUUGACGGGGGCCCGCACAAGCGGAGGAACAUGUGGUUUAAUUCGAUGAUACGCGAGGAACCUUACCUGGGCUUAAAUUGCAGUGGAAUAACGUGGAAACAUGUUAGCCUUCGGGCCGCUGUGAAGGUGCUGCAUGGUUGUCGUCAGCUCGUGCCGUGAGGUGUCGGCUUAAGUGCCAUAACGAGCGCAACCCUCAUCGAUAGUUACUAACAGGUUAAGCUGAGGACUCUAUCGAGACUGCCGACGUAAGUCGUGAGGAAGGUGGGGAUGACGUCAAAUCAGCACGGCCCUUACGUCCAGGGCUACACACGUGUUACAAUGGGGGGUACAAAGGGCAGCUACCUGGCGACAGGAUGCUAAUCUCAAAAACCUCUCUCAGUUCGGAUUGGAGUCUGCAACCCGACUCCAUGAAGCUGGAUUCGCUAGUAAUCGCGCAUCAGCCACGGCGCGGUGAAUACGUUCCCGGGCCUUGUACACACCGCCCGUCAAGCCAUGGGAGCCGGGGGGACCUGAAGUAUGCAACCGUAAGGAGCGUCCUAGGGUAAAACUGGUGACUGGGGCU